rnacentral:misc_RNA from 1 species
AAAUUUUAAAAAUAUUUUAAUUUAAUAAUAUUAAUGUAUUUUGUUUGUGGGUUGGGCCUAUUGACCCUUCCCGGGCAUAGCCUCUUUGUUAAUACAGAAAAUGGAAGCCAGUGCUGCUGUUGUUGAGAAAUAAGAACAGAAGAGGCACUGAACAUAAAAUGAGAGACAAUGGACACUGUUAAAUCUCAAGAAUUAUUUGUCAUUUGCAACUCAACUCAACACAAUUUUUCACAAGUAAUAGAUAGCUCAAGUAGUAUUCUCAAUAUUCAAACUGGAAUAUGGCUACAUUGAGAAACUGUGAUAUUUGGUUUUAGAUCUCUACAAUCUUGGCCUUUGCUUCGCUGUUGCUGCCUCCACCACCAUCACUGUCUUUUGCGCCGCUUGCAGCGGCAGCAAUGGGUAGCUUGGGGUUGCUUUCGCCUCUUUCCAUGUGUUGAUUAGUUUGUUGAGUUGCAGAAGUAUCAGUUGAGGUCUCUGAGGAAUUGGGUUGAUUAGUUUUCUUUUCUUUCUUCUUGCAGGGAAUCAUGGAACAACAACACCAAGCUCCUAUCUCUAAGAUUAUCUCCAUCUUUCUUUAUCUGACUCCGAUCUUUCAUAGUUGCUCUCCGUCUUGAAUAUCCAACAAGGACACUCUGUUGAGUUGCUGAGUUUCAUACAAGUUGAGUCGAAAUUCUUAUAGUCAAAGAGUUAGAAGGAUUGGUUGGUUGACGCCAUUCCUUAAUCACCAGCCACAUAUUUGAUAUUUCUUUCAAACUUGGAAGUCAUUCACUUGGAGAUAAAAUGGUGUCCAUGAGAAUUAUUUUAAGCUACACUUGGCGGACAACGCCAAACCAAUAAAUGACUGCUACACAGGUAAAUGAGCGUAUAACUCUCCAUGUAGUUUCAAUUUGAAAUCAGACCAAUAAUUCCAGUUUCAGGAUCAGUAGGAUCAAAAGAUUCAAAACAAGAUCAAAGAUUCGCCACCUUUGCUUUCAGUUUUAAUUUUAAUUUGAUCCGAUUAAUUUCACCUUAUAGGAAAUGGUCAAUGAUGUAUAUCCCAGUAACCAUGCCAUAAAAAAAAUCCCAACUAAUUUUACUUGCUCAUUAUUUUCCACUGAAACCUUUAACUGGUUCAAAAUCAAACUAUUACAUCAAAAGUUCAACAACGAAGAAAAUAGAUAGCUAGAAUUUCAUAAGAUCACGCCUGAGACAUUGGAAGCUCACCACAGUCACUGAUCACCACCCUCUUUCUGGGACGGUCUCCUCUGUCCGUCUCUUGUGACUCAAUCAACUUCACAAUGUCCAUGCCUUCUAGAACUUGUCCGAAAACUACAUGCCUCUGAUCCAGCCAUGGGGUCUGCCAUUUGCCAAAUACAGAUGAAUAUAUAUAUAUCAAUACCUCAAGUCAGACAGCUGUAAUUGCAAAAAUCUUCUAAGCCUUGACUAACUAGUAAGCCUUUUAUAUGCUACAAUUGAUCAAAAGAAAUGCACAGUAACACUAAUAGAAUAUACAUGUCCAAUCAGUAUAACACCAAUAUCAGUUGCUCAAAAAAUAGAAAAAUGGGUCCAUAGUAAGCCAUUGCAUUAAAUUUUUAAGCACUUCAUGUCUUUUAAGUAGGUACAAUUCUGUUAACCACAAUCAAGAAGAGAAGCUAUGCUUGUAAAAUAAAAAUCAAUCUUGCAUUCUGGUAAUGACAUCAAGGUUCACAUCAGCAGUCUAAAGAACAAUUACAAAGGAAGGGUGGCAAAGAAACAAGAGAGGAUAAACAGGUUAAACAAAACCCCCAAACACUUUCUUCUAAUGUUCUGGCCCAACUAGUAUGGGCACAAACAAAUUUAAGCCUUUAACCACAUCAAGUUUUUUCCUCUCUCAAACGUCUUAGUGGAAGCUUCUUCAUUUAUUUAUUUAUUUUUUUUUU